CGCCCAGACUCCUACGGGAGGCAGCAGUGGGGGAUAUUGCACAAUGGGGGGAACCCUGAUGCAGCGACGCCGCGUGGGUGAAGGAGCGUUUCGGCGCGUAAAGCCCUAUCGGCAGGGAAGAAAAUGACGGUACCUGAAGAAGAAGCCCCGGCUAACUACGUGCCAGCAGCCGCGGUAAUACGGAGGGGGGAAGCGUUAUCCGGAUUUACUGGGUGUAAAGGGGGCGCAGACGGCGAUGCAAGCCAGGAGUGAAAGCCCGGGGCCCAACCCCGGGACUGCUCUUGGAACUGCGUGGCUGGAGUGCAGGAGGGGCAGGCGGAAUUCCUGGUGUAGCGGUGAAAUGCGUAGAUAUCAGGAGGAACACCGGUGGCGAAGGCGGCCUGCUGGACUGCAACUGACGUUGAGGCCCGAAAGCGUGGGGAGCAAACAGGAUUAGAUACCCUGGUAAA
rnacentral:rRNA from 1 species